rnacentral:rRNA from 1 species
GACGAACCGUGCGAACGUUGUUCGGAAUCACUGGCUUAAAGGGCGCGUAGGCGGGCCCGCAAGUCAGGGGUGAAAUCCCACGGCUCAACCGUGGAAGUGCCUUUGAUACUGUGGGUCUUGAGGGAGGUAGGGGCGUGCGGAACUUCCGGUGGAGCGGUGAAAUGCGUAGAUAUCGGAAGGAACACCGGUGGCGAAAGCGGCGCGCUGGACCUCUUCUGACGCUGAGGCGCGAAAGCCAGGGGAGCAAAGCGGG